AGUGAACGCUGGCGGUAGGCCUAACACAUGCAAGUCGAACGCAUCGCAAGAUGAGUGGCGCACGGGUGAGUAACACGUGGGAAUGUAUCCUUUGGUUCGGAAUAACGUCUGGAAACGGACGCUAAUACCGGAUGAGCCCUUAGGGGGAAAGAUUUAUCGCCGAAGGAGCAGCCCGCGUCUGAUUAGGUAGUUGGUGGGGUAAAGGCCUACCAAGCCGACGAUCAGUAGCUGGUCUGAGAGGAUGAUCAGCCACACUGGGACUGAGACACGGCCCAGACUCCUACGGGAGGCAGCAGUGGGGAAUAUUGGACAAUGGGCGCAAGCCUGAUCCAGCCAUGCCGCGUGAGUGAUGAAGGCCUUCGGGUUGUAAAGCUCUUUCGCACACGACGAUGAUGACGGUAGUGUGAGAAGAAGCCCCGGCUAACUUCGUGCCAGCCGCCGCAGUAAAAC
rnacentral:rRNA from 1 species